rnacentral:rRNA from 1 species
AGAGCGAACGCUGGCGGCAGGCCUAACACAUGCAAGUCGAGCGCCCGUAGCAAUACGGGAGCGGCAGACGGGAUAGUAACACGUGGGAACGCGCCCUUCGGUUCGGAAUAACUCAGGGAAACUUGAGCUAAUACCGGAUACGCCCUUACGGGGAAAGAUUUAUUGCCGAAGGAACGGCCCGCGUCCGAUUAGCUAGUUGGUGAGGUAAUGGCUCACCAAGGCGACGAUCGGUAGCUGGUCUGAGAGGAUGACCAGCAUCACUGGGACUGAGACACGGCCCAGACUCCUACGGGAGGCAGCAGUGGGGAAUAUUGGACAAUGGGCGCAAGCCUGAUCCAGCCAUGCCGCGUGGAUGAUGAAGGCCUUAGGGUUGUAAAGUCCGUUUUAACGGGGAAGAUAAUGACGGUACCCGUAGAAUAAGCCCCGGCUAACUUCGCGCCAGUAGCCGC